rnacentral:rRNA from 1 species
GAUGAACGCUGGCGGCGUGCCUAAUUCAUGCAAGUCGAGCGAACGGACGAGAAGCUUGCUUUUCUGAUGUUAGCGGCGGACGGGUGAGUAACACGUGGAUAACCUACCUAUAAGACUGGGAUAACUUCGGGAAACCGGAGCUAAUACCGGAUAAUAUUUUGAACCGCAUGGUUCAAAAGUGAAAGACGGUCUUGCUGUCACUUAUAGAUGGAUCCGCGCUGCAUUAGCUAGUUGGUAAGGUAACGGCUUACCAAGGCAACGAUGCAUAGCCGACCUGAGAGGGUGACCGGCCACACUGGAACUGAGACACGGUCCAGACUCCUACGGGAGGCAGCAGUAGGGAAUCUUCCGCAAUGGGCGAAAGCCUGACGGAGCAACGCCGCGUGAGUGAUGAAGGUCUUCGGAUCGUAAAACUCUGUUAUUAGGGAAGAACAUAUGUGUAAGUAACUGUGCACAUCUUGACGGUACCUAAUCAGAAAGCCACGGCUAACUACGUG